AAUAGAUACCCAGGUAGUCCACGCCGUAAACGAUUAGUGCUAAGUGUUAGAGGGUUUCCGCCCUUUAGUGCUGCAGCUAACGCAUUAAGCACUCCGCCUGGGGAGUACGGCCGCAAGGCUGAAACUCAAAGGAAUUGACGGGGGGCCCGCACAAGCGGUGGAGCAUGUGGUUUAAUUCGAAGCAACGCGAAGAACCUUACCAGGUCUUGACAUCCUCUGCCAACCCUAGAGAUAGGGCGUUCCCCCUUCGGGGGACAGAGUGACAGGUGGUGCAUGGUUGUCGUCAGCUCGUGUCGUGAGAUGUUGGGUUAAGUCCCGCAACGAGCGCAACCCUUGAUCUUAGUUGCCAGCAUUUAGUUGGGCACUCUAAGGUGACUGCCGGUGACAAACCGGAGGAAGGUGGGGAUGACGUCAAAUCAUCAUGCCCCUUAUGACCUGGGCUACACACGUGCUACAAUGGAUGGUACAAAGAGCUGCGAACCCGCGAGGGUGAGCGAAUCUCAUAAAGCCAUUCUCAGUUCGGAUUGUAGG
rnacentral:rRNA from 1 species